UACGUAGGUGGCGAGCGUUAUCCGGAAUUACUGGGUGUAAAGGGAGCGUAGGCGGGGGAACAAGUUGAAUGUUUAAGAUAUGGGCUCAACUCAUAUAAGCGUUCAAAACUGUUUUUCUUGAGUGAAGUAGAGGUAAGCGGAAUUCCUAGUGUAGCGGUGGAAUGCGUAAAUAUUAGGAGGAACACCAGUGGCGAAGGCGGCUUACUGGGCUUUAACUGACGCUGAGGCUCGAAAGCGUGGGUAGCAAACAGG
rnacentral:rRNA from 1 species